AGGACGAACGCUGGCGGCGUGCUUAACACAUGCAAGUCGAGCGGAAAGGCCCUUCGGGGUACUCGAGCGGCGAACGGGUGAGUAACACGUGAGUAAUCUGCCCCUAGCUCUGGGAUAGCUCCGGGAAACCGGGAUUAAUACUGGAUACGACCACCUUAGACAUCUUCUGUGGUGGAAAGAAUUUCGGCUAGGGAUGAGCUCGCGGCCUAUCAGCUUGUUGGUGGGGUAACGGCCUACCAAGGCGACGACGGGUA
rnacentral:rRNA from 1 species